rnacentral:rRNA from 1 species
GAACGGGUGAGUAACACGUAAACAAUCUGCCUGCAGAUUCGGGAUAACCUUGCCAACGCGGGGCUAAUACCGGAUGUGGUCGAGACUCCGCAUGGGGUUUUGAUUAAAGAUACGUAAGAGUCGUCUGCAGAUGAGUUUGCGUCCCAUUAGCUAGUUGGCGGGGUAACGGCCCACCAAGGCGAUGAUGGGUAGCCGGCCUGAGAGGGUGAACGGCCACAUUGGGACUGAGAUACGGCCCAGACUCCUACGGGAGGCAGCAGUAGGGAAUUUUGCGCAAUGGGCGAAAGCCUGACGCAGCAACGCCGCGUGAGUGAUGACGGCCUUCGGGUUGUAAAGCUCUGUUGGACGGGAAGAAAAGACGCAUGAAGAGUGCGUUAUGACGGUACCGUUCGAGGAAGCUCCGGCUAACUACGUGCCAGCAGCCGCGGUAAUACGUAGGGAGCGAGCGUUGUUCGGAAUUACUGGGCGUAAAGGGAGCGUAGGCGGGUUUGUAAGUUAGGGGUUUAAUGCAUGGGCUUAACCCAUGUCCGGCCUUUAAUACUGCAAGUCUUGAGUGUGGGAGAGGGCGAUGGAAUUCCAGGUGUAGCGGUGGAAUGCGUAGAUAUCUGGAAGAACACCAACAGCGAAGGCAGUCGCCUGGCCCGAUACUGACGCUGAAGCUCGAAAGUCGGGGGAGCAAACAGGAUUAGAUACCCUGGUAGUCCCGACCGUAAACGAUGAACACUAGUUGCCGGGAGAGUCAAUCCUUUCGGUGACGAAGCUAACGCAUUAAGUGUUCCGCCUGGGGAGUACGCCCGCAAGGGUGAAACUCAAAGGAAUUGACGGA